rfam:Schistosoma haematobium scaffold6_11, whole genome shotgun sequence.
AUCCAGCUGACGAGUCCAAAAAUGGAUGAAACGAGCGUCUUGGAU